GUGGCGGCGGCAGCUGCUGGACAAGGGAGACUUUCCCACCACCGCCCUCCUUUCCGUUUCUUCUUCUUCGGCACGGCCCGACACAGCCCUUGCCCCGGCCCCCCGCGCAUCCAACCCCUGGGAAUUCUGCAUCUUUGGUAUGCUUCUCACGCCGCGUCCAGCUUGCGGACGACGCCGGAGGGACUUUGCCUCAGCGGGAAACGAUGAAUUGGAAGAGGCAGAUGAGUGACAAAGUUGGCUCAAGGCGGUUGGUCCAACAUCUUCUGUGUCUGCUCACAAGAAGCCGAUGAGGCAUGUUAUCAGGCCUUCAAGGUGCAAUGCAAUGGCCUGUUCUGCCAUUACAUUCUUAGAAAAAGGCGCAAAUUGCAGCAAUAUGGUGAACGUGCAGCGCAAGAGAAUCUUCAAGACAGCAUGAAGUUGAAACCAGGAAAAACGGCAAAUAUUAAAUAAGGAAAAUGGAAGACAUCUGCAGGUGGAUACUGUGAAGUCUGUGGAGCUCUGUUUCUUGUGGUUGCUUCAGUGAACAUUCAACGCUGUCGGUGAGUUUGGGAUUAAAGUGAAAACCAUCGACCGUUGAUUGUACCCUCCAGCUAACCAUCCUCCUCUUUGCAUGAAGGCUGAAGACAUCCACAAAACCAGUGCACAAGAUUUGGGUUUCUCGGUGGGGGAGGGAAAGAGAUGAGGAGCCUAUCUUCCCUUGCAGGGUUUCACAAACACAAAAGGUCACAAUUAACAUUCAUUGCUGUCGGUGGGUUUAACUAUGUGGACAAGCUCACUGAACAAUGAAUGCAACUGUGGCCCCACUUUUUACAAUCGUAGUCAAGAGGAAGACUGGCUUUGAAAGCAGCACCCAAGGUGGAUCUCUUUGACUGAAAACCUACACUUCUUAGAUCAAGAGGCCCAAAUAAUUUCAAAUUGCUUGCUUGUCUGUGUCGUGUGGGGCCAGGAAGACCUCCAAGGAUCUCACUUCAUUGAAUUUCAUGAUUAUGUCAAAUAAAAGUCUUUGCUUUUUAUCUGCAUUUAUUACCUAGAUUGGAGCUUCUUGACCUUGUUUUACCAUGAAUAUUUUUUUAAAACAACAACAACACUGAUUUGCUGUCCUCAGGACCUUCAAUGUAAUUAAGGCUAGUAACACUCACAGCAAAACUCAUUGCUGCCUUUACCUAGGAAAAGGAAGGUCAAGCAAAAGAAGGAUGAACCAGAACCCUAUGGGAACAUACCAUGUUUUAAGAUCUGUGGUGGAAGGGGGGGGAGCAAACGAAAAUUCAGUGAACGAAUGAGCCAUAGCUGCCAAGUCUCCCAUAUUCCCCGGGAAACCCCCAUUUUCCCAGCCAUUCCCAGCUGGAAAAACGGAUUUUUUUGUUUUACCCCGGUUUACUUACCGGCCGGGGGAGGCUCCUUCUGCGCAUAUCUGGAGUCUCUGGACAUGCACAGAAGCGAUUUCUGGCGUGGUGGCCAUUUUGGAACUGGGGAGAGCAGCAUCGAAAGUCGCUUCUGAGCAUGCUCCGCCCAGUUCCAAAAUGGCGGCAGCACUACUUCCGGUCUGCUGAUCCCUUAUUUUUCCGGCAGGAACUUGGCAGGUAUGGAAUGAACACAACUUUCUUUAUUGUGCUGAUUGGACCUAACGUAGGACCACAAUGACCAAUCAGGACACAUGAUGGGUGGGAUUAGGGAGGAGCUUAGCCCUCCUAUGGAAGUCUUGCCUAAGCCCCUGAGAAAAAGCAGAAACAUAGGAAGCUGCUUUAUAACAAAACAGACACUAGUACAUCUAUGUGUAGCUCAGUAUAGUUUGUUUCCUGGUCCUACCUGAAAAUGCCAGGGAUUCAACCUCAACCCUUUUACAUUCAAAUCUGUGGUUUACCAUGAAGCUUUGGUCCUCUCCUAGAUACACAUUCAUGUACAGGUUACAUCAAAACAGAAGGAAGGAAGGAGUCUUUGUUUUCUUCCAGGAUGUUGUCUCAUAUCCCUAACGCAAUCCACGUGUGCUACUGUGAUUUGUGUUUAGAUUUGCAUAUGUUAUGCUUCAGAAGCUUGUGUCUGGGUGUUUUAUUUUUACACCAGAUGAAUAUUUUUCUUUGUACAUAAUUUGUUUUAAGGGUACAGUUUCCUGACAGUAAGGUUUCUGUACAAUUGACACCAACACUCCCUUGUCAAAAGUAUUGUAAGCCACUCCCUCCUCAUAAAAAAAAGCAUCACUAGGUAUUUUUAUUUAAAAAGAAUUCAGGUAAUAUUUUCCAGAUGGAAAGAACAAUCUAUUGCAGAAGGUACUGUUCAAAUAAUUGUAACAACUUGAUUUUGGAGCCUGUUAUUAUAAAUUGCUUAACUCUGUUGCAUUUGCAAGCGUUGUGAAUUAUUUUCAUUAUAUAUUACAAUCUUUUCAAAUAAUUUUGAUACUUAUCAGAAUGAAGAAUGUCAGGUAUUAAGAAGACAAAUAUUCUGCUGUUUAACUGGAAUUUUUAAUGAAUGCAUCAUUGAUAUUUAGCAGUAAUUGGUUAAUGCAUCAGAACGACAGCUCCAGAUGAAAAUGAAUUUCUUUUAGGAUGAAAAGUGGUAUAUUAGUUGCCUGUUCUUUUAUAAUAUUUGGUUGUCUAAGUAUUUAAAAUUAUCGCUAUUUUAAGUAAUUCAUUUCGGAGUUGUGCUGCAUUUCUCACAGUGUUUGAAAAGUUUUUAAUAAAUAUGCAUUAUUAAAGAAGCAAGAGAAAAGGCAAGCUGGCCACAGGCACACUGGCUAGAAGACCAACGUCUGUUGAGAAGUUGUACAACUCUUCCCAACAAAAGGAAAUUCUGGUUGCCCCCCAUCCCCCAAGAGAAGUCUGCCGCAACUACCAGUUGCCCUGUGCUACGUAAACAAGAAAGGAACAAUCUGCUGUCAUCCACAAUAACUACAAAUCCCAAAACUUCUGGGGGGUUAUACCUCCUCCUUCAAUCAGUAUCAUCAUAUAUGAAAACAAUUCUCAGAAUCACUUCCAUAAGACAAUGCUUCUGAAUAUGCAGGUGGCAUUUAGCUAUAACGAGUUUACCAUUGAUAAACAUAUCUUCCACUGUGGAUUUGCACAAUCCUUUUUUAAAGUCAGCUCAGAUAUCACCACAACUUUGGAUUCCAUAAGUUACUAAGUUCACUAUGUGAAGAAACAUUUAGUUCACACUCAGUCCAGAACCUGUUGCCAAUCAACUUCAUUGGCUGCUCCCAUAUUCUAGUUGUAUUUGGGGAUGGAGAGUGGUGUGUGUGUGUGUGUGUGUGUGUGUGUGUGUGUGUGUGUGUGUUCUUUCAUAUAUAAAUUGCAACCAAUCCAGCAUCAAAUCUCCAGCUUGUAUCACUGUUUCUUCCUUGUUAUUUGCCACUUACAGCCACUGUUAAUAAAUCACACUGAAUCUGAAGAAACCAAAAUGCAUGUAUCAGUGAAAAUUAUAUACAAGUGUUUUUAAUUAGGGGAAUUUGCUUUGCAAAAAUGUAUAUGAUGGAAAUGUAGAAAACUGGUAAAAGCGGGAAUUGACAAAUUCACCCAUACUUAGUGCAUCAUAUGUUACCUUCUCCUUGCCUCAGGAUUCCACCCUGCCUUUAUUUUAUAGACCAUUUUUAAUGAGGUACAGAAAUUUAUAAUGAGAAAUACCCUGCCACAUAGAUACGUCACAGAUAUUUCAACAUUGAGGUCACACUUUCUAGACAGAGUACUGCAAAGUAUUCUUGAUGUAUUUUUUUUUAAUUGAACUCCUUAACUGUACGCUUUGUGCACAUAAUUCUGGAUACAGGAUUAAUGGUUUGGGAGUGUGUGUGUGUGUGUGUGUGUGUGUGUGUGUGUUUAAAUAAAUAAGGAUAAUUGAUGAUAAACAUUUUUCAACCAUGAAGCUAUUUUAAAAAUAAUUUAUACCAGAUUUUGGUGCAAUAUGGUAAAUGAAUUUGCACUGGUAUUUUCUCUAUCUCUUUUCAAAGUAGCAUGUUCAAAGAAAAGAGGAGAGAGAGAGAGAGAGAGAGAGAGAGAGAGAGACCCAAAACCACAACUAUUGUUAUAGGAUUUGGAAAAAUGUAGAAACAGAGUAUGUCUCAAGAUACAGAAACAAGAUAGCACUUCUUGCAGUAUUAGUCAAUACAGAACCAAGGUCUUUAAUCAUACACUUACUAUGGUUCAGUUUACAAUUGUUACACAAUGUACAAGUAUUUCUGGACACCUCCCUUUACUAGUGGCAUAAUGGAGCGAAAAGUUCAAGAAAUUAGGUCACUUCCAGAUGACCUGUUUACUGAGCAUUCAUCCGGCAUCUGUCUGUAUUAGAAAGUGUGUUCCUAGAGACAUAUUGUGGAGUCCAAUAUACUUGAAAUACAGUGUGUGUGUGUGUGUGUGUGUGUGUGUGUGUGUGUGUGUGUUUCAGAAUCAACCUCAAUCUGCAAGGUUUGUGAGGAGGUUGUACAACAACUACUGCUUGCUGAGCGUUCAUUUCAAUUUGUGCAGAGGUUAUAUAAAGUCACAUCUACCAAUUCUUAUGCCACACGUUCCAUAAUUUUCCUUACCACAAAAAUCCAGUUGGGGCUUGUGGAGAGCAACUUUGUUGUACAAGAGAACCAAACCCACUUUAAUGCAACACCUGAAUUUUCCAGGAGGCAGUUGAAUCCCACUUUCAAAAUGACAACAGUCCGGAAACGGUCUACAAAAAAAUCGAGUCCACUUCCUGGUGGGACCGGGUUGUGGUCCAGCCGCCUAGCCACUCCCCUCAGCGUCUGGGCAUCCCACAGCGGGAGCCACGUCAGGUUCCCAGGCAAAAUUCUGUGUCCUUGUGUCUUUAUUCUCCCAGGGGUGGCUUGGGGGCCUUGACACACAAUUCACUCAUUUCCCUCUACUCUGAAAUUUUGGUCAGCAUGGUGUGUAAAAGAUUUCUCAAAAUAAAAAAUUGUCAUAUUUAACACCCCCACUAAGGUAAAUAGCUUCUGGUAUUCUUCAGCCAGGUGCAGGAGUGUUCCCACAGAACUGGCAAAAAGUAAGUAAAAAUAGGUAGCUUUCUACAUAUUCCCCUUUACUGUAUUCUAGCAAGUCCAAACCAUUCUUAAACAUUUACAUCUGAUAAAUUAUACUGAAAUGCUUCCUGCAUUGAAGUUAGUAACAGCUGGUGGUCACAUUUUCCUACUGGGGAUGGACUGGAAACAACAACACAUAUGCACAUUCUCAGAUGGAUGAGGGCUCAAAAAAGGUUUAAGGGUAGCAAUACACUCUGGAAGUUGUAGCGGAUUGUGGAGUGAGGAAUCCACAAAUGCUUGAAGUUCUAUUACAGGUAAGGUUUGUGUCAGAACUGGCUUCAGUAGCUUUGAACAAAGAUUCUUCUUGUUAUCUAGAAGUGAAUCCACAAUGAUAAUAUUCUACUUACCAGACCGAGCUCAUCGGCAGUCGCUUCUAUACAUCUUCUUGUCACAAAGCAAAUUAGAAUAAGAUCAGGGUGUAGAUGAAUCUGUCCGCAACCAGAAUUUGGAUUGGAAGCCAAGGUCACUUACAGCUGGAGCAAAAUAAAAUACCAUAGUUAGCCUACCCCUGCCACUGCCACCAUACCUGCUACUGCCAUUGUCAUUUCUUUGCCCACCCUGCCACCUCCACUGCUAGUGGAGAAGCACUACUGGCAUCAGUGCCAAUUUCAGGUGAGAUCUUGCCCAAAUCAAACCUCAUAUGAUUUUGGAUGCAAUUCUGGCCAAAAUUGGCACCGAUAGCAGUGCCACUUUGGGCCAGCAGCAGUAGUGGCAGGGCAGGUGAGAUGCCCACAGGGCUGUCGUUUCAGAGGCUUCUGCCUACUGAGGCAGCUGCCUCAGCCUGCCUAAUGGCAGAACCGGCUCUGUAGCACUGUGUAAAUUACCCCCUUUAUAAACUUCAUUCAGGAGUGUCGGUACUGCUAGCUGAACUGGCCCAAGCCUGGCAGAAGGAAAAUUUGGAGUUUGACUUACACCAUCCUUUGGGUCAAUGUAAGUUCUGCUAGCUCAUGUGACUGAAAGGGAUUUGGAAUAGGGGUCUAUCCCUUCUUAUCCUGCCCCACCCCUGCCAAACCCUCGUCACAUACACCCCACCCCACCCAGAAUGCUGCUUUUUCGGGCUUGUGGAGAUGAGCCCUGGCUGGGCCAGGAUGGAGGAGUUACAGCAUCAUAUCUCUGGCUGAGCUUGGAUAAAGGACUUCAGCCAGCUAAGUCCAGGCUCAUCCAGAGAACUGCUUAUUCCAUUCUCCAUUCAUCCAAGCAAAUCUUGGAUUUGGAUUGCACUGAAAGGCUUAAAGCCUAUGCCCACUUAACCUGGGAGUAAACCCCCUUGAACUCAAUGGGGCUUAAUUUGAGUAAACAGGGUUAGGAGUGUGCUAUUUACUGGGCUUGUGGGACAUUUUUGACCCCCCCCCCAAGUAAAUGUACCCUGGAGUUUAAAUGCAGGAAACGAGAGAGAGAGAGAGAGAGGAGAGAGAGAGAGAGAGAGAGAGAGAGACCCUUCACUGACAAUAACAGUCCUGUCAAAAUUACAAGCCUGCAGCCAUUCAUUUCCCCCUAUUUCUUUUUUAUAAUAAAGCUUGGGCAUUUUUCUGUAGGAGUCCCAUGGCUGAGGGAGGGGGAAACUGAGAUGGAGCUAGUCUUCUUCUCCUCAGAUGCCAGCAUUCAGAAUUGUUGUUGUUGUUGUUUUCCAGGCUGAUAAAGCCUAGAAAGAAAUAUUUGUAACAGUUUUACCUUUUUCCUUCCAAACUGCAAACACUCCAGGAACGAAAUGCCUAAACUGACAGAGAGCUUUGUCAAUGAGGGGAGGGGAAAUGACCUUGAAGUAAUAUGCCACUCCAAAGAGGAAAAAGUCUGAAACCUCAGGAUCUAAGAAAAUGUGUUUGAAUCGUGAAUCCCCAUCUUGUGACAGUAAAUGUGGGUGGGGAGAAGCCACCACUGGUAUUAAUUUCUGACUACGACGAGAUGGCACAGGUGGUUGCCCCAAAUGUCAAUAACACCAUCUGAUGUGUAAAUCAUUUUAAUUAUCAAGUACAAUCAGUGCUAAUUGAUGCAUUUGUGAUGAAAUAAGGAACCAUAGCAAGAUAGAUCCUUGCUCCUGUGGAAUUUGCUUUUAAAAAUAAUUUCAGGUGCCUCAAACUACACAGUGAGCAGGAUCACAUGACACAUGCUGGACUUGGCAAUGGCUCCUGUGGAGGUGAAGGUGAGUCCAGCAUAGAGCAUCCAGAGCAAAAUCCCUUUGUUGCUCAGGCUGACGAACAAGCCUUACCUGAAAGCCCUUACAGAAGUCAGGGAGCACCACCUUAUCUCUUUGGCCCAUUGGUGCAAAGAGUCCCCCUAGUUUGAUGGAACUGCUUUCUUUGCAUUUUCUGCUUUGGUCAGAACUGGCUGGAUUGGAUACCCAGGCUAGAUUCCUGGCAGCUCUCACAUUGUCAUAAGAGCUACCGGUAGUUACCCUUCACCACACAAGGAAGCAUUUAUUGGUGUCUUCUGAAGAUCAGUAGUAAUGCCUUAUACAGUAGCCAUAACCUGAUUUAAAGACUGGCAUGUCCCUGGGGAUUUGAGUUAGGGAUUCUACAGAAACUUGGUAGCCUGAAAUGAACCCUUAGCAGAGGGAGCUGUUGUGAACUGUACAGGCCCAGUGCUCAGAGCUGCCUUCAGACAUAAAAAUAAUAAUAGAAGCAGUACUUUUUUAUGUGUGGUGGUACUCAAUGGUACAAGAUUCAGGUAGGUAGCCGUGUUGGUCUGAUGCAGUCGAAAUAAGUGUGCAUGCACACGAAAGCUUAUACCCAGAACAAACUUAGUUGGUCUCUAAGGUGCUACUGGACAAUUUUUAAUUUAUUUCAAUGGU